rnacentral:lncRNA from 1 species
ACCUAUAGUGACGUCAAAGUACCAGUGAGCAUGGAGGUUUGGUUAGGCUUGGUUACGACGACGUCGAGUUGGCGGCGGAGGAAGACUCGGCAUGAAGGCCAGCCGCCCGGUGGUGUGGUACGUAGUGGUAAUAGUACGCGCCCCGCUCCGAAACAAAGAAAAAGGUGCGUGCCGCACUCACGAGGGACUGCCAGUGAGAUACUGGAGGAAGGUGGGGAUGACGUCAAGUCCGCAUGGCCCUUAUGGGCUGGGCCACACACGUGCUACAAUGGCAAUGACAAUGGGAAGCAAGGCUGUAAGGCGGAGCGAAUCCGGAAAGAUUGCCUCAGUUCGGAUUGUUCUCUGCAACUCGGGAACAUGAAGUUGAAAUCGCUAGUAAUCGCGGAUCAGCAUGCCGCGGUGAAUAUGUACCCGGGCCCUGUACACACCGCCCGUCACACCCUGGGAAUUGGUUUCGCCCGAAGCAUCGGACCAAUGAUCACCCAUGACUUCUGUGUACCACUAGUGCCACAAAGGCCUUUGGUGGUCUUAUUGGCGCAUACCACGGUGGGGUCUUCGACUGGGGUGAAGUCGUAACAAGGUAGCCGUAGGGGAACCUGUGGCUGGAUUGAAUCCUUCGCGAUGGAAAUGCCCUCGCCUACUUGACUAAACUAAGGACCUCAACGGAAGCUUAUGUAGAUCGACUGAAAAGACGAUUCCAUUUUCCUUCUUGUUUAUCAAUCACCAAUCAAGACAAACCGGGCACUACGGUGAGACGUGAAAACACCCGAUCCCAUUCCGACCUCGAUAUAUAUGUGGAAUCGUCUUGCGCCAUAUGUACUGAAAUUGUUCGGGAGACAUGGUCAAAGCCCGGGUUGAAGCCCCUAAAGGGGAUUUCUUUCAGCCAACAUCCAGCCUUAGUGGCCCCUCUCUGAUAAGGUUUGAAAGUUUUCAAAACGAAAAAAAAAUGACAAAUCUGGUCCGAUGGCUCUUCUCCACUAACCACAAGGAUAUCGGUACUCUAUAUUUCAUCUUCGGUGCCAUUGCAGGAGUGAUGGGCACAUGCUUCUCCGUACUGAUUCGUAUGGAAUUAGCCCGACCCGGCGAUCAAAUUCUUGGUGGGAAUCAUCAACUUUAUAAUGUUUUAAUAACGGCUCACGCUUUUUUAAUGAUCUUUUUUAUGGUUAUGCCGGCGAUGAUAGGUGGAUUUGGGAAUUGGUUUGUUCCGAUUCUGAUAGGUGCACCUGACAUGGCAUUUCCACGAUUAAAUAAUAUAUCAUUCUGGUUGUUGCCACCAAGUCUCUUGCUCCUAUUAAGCUCAGCCUUAGUAGAAGUGGGCAGCGGCACUGGGUGGACGGUCUAUCCGCCCUUAAGUGGUAUUACCAGCCAUUCUGGAGGAGCAGUUGAUUUAGCAAUUUUUAGUCUUCAUCUAUCAGGUGUUUCAUCAAUUUUAGGUUCUAUCAAUUUUAUAACUACUAUCUUCAACAUGCGUGGACCUGGAAUGACUAUGCAUAGAUUACCACUUUUUGUGUGGUCCGUUCUAGUGACAGCAUUCCUACUUUUAUUAUCACUUCCGGUACUGGCAGGGGCAAUUACAAUGUUAUUAACCGAUCGAAACUUUAAUACAACCUUUUUUGAUCCAGCAGGAGGGGGAGACCCAAUAUUAUACCAGCAUCUCUUUUGGUUCUUCGGUCAUCCAGAGGUGUAUAUUCUCAUUCUGCCUGGAUUCGGUAUUAUUAGUCAUAUCGUAUCGACCUUUUCAAGAAAACCGGUCUUCGGGUAUCUAGGCAUGGUUUAUGCCAUGAUAAGUAUAGGUGUUCUUGGAUUUCUAGUUUGGGCUCAUCAUAUGUUUACUGUGGGCUUAGACGUUGAUACGCGUGCCUACUUCACCGCAGCUACCAUGAUCAUAGCUGUGCCCACUGGAAUCAAAAUCUUUAGUUGGAUCGCUACCAUGUGGGGAGGUUCGAUACAAUACAAAACACCCAUGUUAUUUGCUGUAGGGUUCAUCUUUUUGUUCACCAUAGGAGGGCUCACUGGAAUAGUUCUAGCAAACUCUGGGCUAGACAUUGCUCUACAUGAUACUUAUUAUGUGGUUGCACAUUUCCAUUAUGUACUUUCUAUGGGAGCCGUUUUUGCUUUAUUUGCUGGAUUUUACUAUUGGGUGGGUAAAAUCUUUGGUCGGACAUAUCCUGAAACUUUAGGCCAAAUCCAUUUUUGGAUCACUUUUUUCGGGGUUAAUCUGACCUUCUUUCCCAUGCAUUUCUUAGGGCUUUCGGGUAUGCCACGUCGCAUUCCAGAUUAUCCAGAUGCUUACGCCGGAUGGAAUGCUCUGAGCAGUUUCGGUUCUUAUAUAUCCGUAGUUGGGAUUCGUCGUUUCUUCGUAGUUGUCGCAAUCACUUCAAGCAGUGGAAAGAACAAAAGAUGUGCGGAAAGUCCUUGGGCUGUUGAACAGAAUCCAACCACACUAGAAUGGUUGGUACAAAGCCCUCCAGCCUUUCAUACUUUUGGAGAACUUCCAACUAUCAAAGUCAAUACAAAUGAUAAAAAAAGAAAGGUCCAGCUUUCUCAGGCCCUUAGGAGUCAGCGAAAGACCAUCUUUUCCGCUACUUCAUCACAACGAAGAUGGAUGCACACUGAUCCCAGCGAAUUAUUUAUGGCCGUCGCCCCAUACCUGCCCCAAAUGGCAGAUCAAAUCAUGGAAACAGUGGAUAGCCUCCCGCAGAUAGCAGAAAUGGUAGGCCGUGACGUUCACUCAGUGGCGGAAACUACUACCGGUCUACCACAGCUACAAGGGGGGGCUGGCCCAAGUAGUUCAUCUACACUCUGUAAUCUCACCGUAGAAACAUUUCCUUUCCCAUCUACACUAGAAAUAGAUGUAGUAAAAAUAAAGGAAAAUUUAAUGAAAUCUUAUGGGGGUCAACUAAACGGAGAGGAAAUAGUUUCACUUUCCAAUAAAACUAUUGAAUUAAAAACACAAAUACUUCAUAAACUGGCUCUUUUAGCAGGAGAAGACAACGGCCCCCUCCUUUUCAAUACGACUGGUGCUGAUGAUAUUCUAACCACCCUUUCAAAGGCUGAGUAUAAACGGAGUUAUCUACAACAAAUCCACAAAAGCUUAAAAAAAAAGGGAAAAGAAAGUUGUUAUUAUCAUGAAUUUUUGCAAAGGCGGUUAGAAGCCUUUCCUAAUACUUGGAUGCAAUACUUGAAAAUAGGAACUUUACCCCAGGAGGUUAUCGAGAAAAAAGUACUCUCUGCUACUAGUGAAUUUCUAAUGAAAGAUGAUUAAUUAAAGGCAGAUAGAUAGGACGUAGUCUUGCUCGAUCAGGACCCUUGCUUUAUUGCGAGCCAAAACAGCUGCGCUAUUCAGUUCAACAUAUUAAUCUAUCUAACCUUUGGCUACUAGAGAGGGAUUUGCGCAAGCCGGGUAGGGUCAAGUCAAUGCUUAAUCCAUUUCUGUCAGAAUUUCGGCGAACAAGGAGGUAAGGUUGUAAUAAGUAGGGAUAAUAUUGAAAAGGUAGGAAGCAGGUGGGCCAAACAGAUAGCAAGGUUCAAAGAAAGGGUGGGUUAAGCAGCCCCGCUGGGGAGAAGGAGUACGAGCAAUCGAGCUGUGGAGAUGGAAGGCAAGCUGGUUACGAUAAUGGAGAUACCCGGAUCUAGGAAAGCAAGCAAGCACUUUCGAAAGCAGGAAGUAGGGAUUCCCGAUUUUACGUAACAUUAAAGGAAAGGAUGGAAAAUCAAUAUAAUAUAAUAACGUUAUUUCCUUCUGCAAAAAUAUGGGAAAUCAGUUUAUUUAAAAUAGGUUUUCUUUUGGGCUUCUUUCACUUGUUUGUUUGUAUUUCGUCUUUAUUGCUCUUUCUAUUUCGAAUCUCACAUAACAUAAGAUGCUUUCGGAAGUUGAACCGGGACACACCUCUGCGCACCUUGGCCGGGCUAACAGGUUCUUGGUGCCAAAAACGGAGGGAGAGACUAAUUGAUCUCAUUAGUUCCGGGAUUGAGCCGCGGGUUGUAGUCGGCCCGAUGGACCUGCAGACGUAGGAAGGCUUUUCUCGCCAACUGAACUGCCCAAAGCGACUUCCUCAGGAAGGUACGGUCUGACGAGGACCAAUUUCAGUUCGAUUCUGAAAAGUCGCAUAUCAGCAGUUGCCUUAACUGAGUCUAUUAGCAAUUUGAUUCAGUCUUUCUAUCUGGCUAGACCUGUGCCGUGACAAGCACAAGCUAUGAACUAGCCCUUCCUUGCACAAGCGCCUAUUAUACUGGCCAGAUGCCGAUUUGUAACUCCCUUAGGCUACUUUAUCUACAAAACCUAGACUUAUUACUACUACUGGCCUAUCUCUUUCUAAACCCAUGCAUAUGCCUAUUACGUAUCCCGCGCUUGGCUCUCUUUACUACCCUGAACAUCCCGUUCAUACAUACUUGCCUAUCUUUCUAAACCUAAACCGGUGCUCUUUCUCCUAAAUAUGCAUCCCAAGCUUGCUUUCAAACCUCUACUUGCCCUGGCUAGACCAGUUCAUACCUAUUGGGUUUUUAGACCUUUCCCUUCCCGCCUCCUUUGCGGAUAUGCCCUUAUUCAGCUCUUGAAAGAAAGAGAGAUAGAAAGAGAGAAUGAUCAAACUCAACUAGACGGCAGUUCCUCUUGUUCAAACCUCUCUUGCCGAGUCUUCUCCUCAUAGCAAGUUCCGGGAGAGCUAAACUACUAAUAUAAUGUAAAUAGCAGACGCUAGAACAAGAACGGAUUGCUUUACCCGCUAUAGCCAGCGACGCAUCCUGCAGUGCUCCCUUCAUCAGCGGAUCAAGCUUUCGCAAGGCAAGGUACAGCUUUUUCAUCCCAGUUCCGGGUUCCUGAAAGUCCAUUCUUCAAUGUUCGAGAGCAUCUCGCUAACCUCGAUCUACUUCCUAUCAGAUGCUGCAGAAACUAACUAUACUUCUCUAAUCAUAACAUUUUCAUUUCUAUAUGAUAAUUUGAGAUUGCUCUACCGGACCAGAGUCGUAAGUGUUGACUCAUGCGAGUCACUCCUUCUCAGCUUUGACUUCUUGGCUUUUCAUUGGUAUCCGUCUUUCACUUAAGCUAAGCCAUUGGCAUGACCAUUCGUUCUGCCCGAUCGUCUUACUCUUUUUUCUACAGCAGCAAGGAUCUCGCAAUCUAUGGCUCAGAAAGCAGGUUUCCGUUUGGUGUGUCGCUGACACUGCCUCUCUACUUUUCGAAAUGAACGUUCGGGCUUACUACUCCUGGGGCUAGGGGACUGGUAUCUACAUCCGAGGCCACAGGCAGUUGUUCCUGCUGUGGGUCCUGAAUUGUUGUAUAAUGGCUUAGACGAAAACAGCACCGAGACUAAACUAAGAGCUGAGAGUCCUAACUCAGUAAAGUAUAGGAUUAAAAACAUUACCUAUUACUGCAUUAUUUGUUGCUGCGAGUCAAGAAAAGAAAGUGUGGAGCUCCGUGAAGAAGCAAGUUCAAUUACUCAAACGUUGGAACUAUUGUAAAACACAUUCCGUCGCCCAAGUCAGAUCAUUGCCUACUGGCCACGGGGCUUAUGAGGCCAGCGGAGGAGGAGGAGGGAAACGUAUGAGAUGAGGGAUUUGGACUUGCUACACUUACCAGAUGUGAGGUAGUGAAAUGCUUUCCUUCCAUAGCUAACUUUCCCAUAGCCGUAGUUCCAGUCUGACUCUCCGAAGCCUAUGACCAAGAGUAAGGGCACUCAGCAGGCAAGGAUCAACUAGAUUAGUGAACUCCCUUGUCUCGGGGAUUCCUUUUUUCUGCCUUGUCGUGAGAAUCUGAUCUCAUUGCUUAUAGAAAGAAGCCAGUAAAGAAGGUGCUUUUUCGAGAUGUUUAAGUUGGCACAGGAGAAGAAGUAAGCAAAUAGGGCAAACCAGCCAUCUAUAGAUAGGUGUUCAAUUUUUAUGAGAGUGCUCUCUUCCUAUAAGAGUUCCGCUUUUGCUAAUCAAAGACAGAAUUUAAACAGACAUCAAUCAUCUAAUCAGAAUUCUUUUACAAUUAAUAGAUACCUAUCAUAGAAAAACCUUUCUCCAAGGAAGCUUGCUUCUUGUUCCAGAUUUUAUCCUAAAAUAGGUUACUUUGCUUUCCGCUCUAUCGGAAAACGUUCUAACGUAUUGAUUCCGUAAUUCUAUUUUUGAAAAAAAAGAGUGAGACUCAAUCUCCUUAUGCCAUCUCACGCUACCGAAGCAGACUCGCUCCGUCUAUGCGUCCUGAACCUGAAGAUAGAGACCCCAGCUAGACCUAUUUAGUUUAGUUGCCUCGGGUGAGCUGAACUACCAGAACUAGUUCUUUACAACUCGUGCCCCGGAGCCCUCUAUCUAGAAUAGCUCUCUCUAGAUUUCCCAGAAAUGUUACCAGAAUAAGUUACAACUGACUAUAUCUUCUUUUCCCAGCUUAGCGCCCUCCCACUAAGCUCUCAACCAAUCCAAGGUUAAGAAAUUCAUGAUGAUCCAGCUUGAGACUAAGUCGUUUAGUAAGAAGUUAUCCUCUAGUGCCCAGGAUUCUUUUUAGACUGACUUUUCAAUCGUCAAAGGGAAUAGAACCAAAACAUCGAACGAUAUGCUUUUAUUCAUUUUCCACUGUGAAAGGUUCUCUCAAUCCCUCCCUAGUCCUUUCUUUCCUUUCAAAACUCUCUAUGUAUUCAUUUGCUUUCUUACCAGGCCUACCCAGGAAAGGGGUAUAGAUAGAAGGAGGGAUCCUCCGACCAUAGGUCUAUUGAAUAGAAAAAAACAAUUGAAUAUCCAGCAGCUGCUUUUAUUUUCUCUACGAAGAUAGUGGCUAGCUAUGGACUCCGGUUCCUCAUAAUCAGAAUCUCGUACGUGGGUCUCCUCAGAAACAGUAAGCUCAAAGUCUGUCUAUCGUUAGUAAACAGUAAGCUAGCGGGUUUUAUGAUUAAAGGAGAGCAGUGUUCCGUAAUUGUCUUCCCUAGAGUCCAUUUAAGGGUUCAAGGAGAUGGUAUCCAUGUCGGUGCAAUUUUAUAGAAAAAAACAAGGUGGAUUCCUAGAAAAGUCUAUCGCUUGCCAAUCUUGUGGUCACUGGAGUCUGACUGAACGGUCUUUGUCUCGGUGGAGUCUAGAUUUGAGUUCUCGAUGGUGUGCCCUUAUUGAGCUUUUCUUAGGUGUCGGUGUAGGUAGUAGGAUAGCGUUAUAUAGGUAUAGAACGCAUAAGCGCGAUAACAUCCCCAAAAGCUUCUUUCUAUCCUCGAAUUCACAUGCACCCCUCGAGAUGAUUGUUACUAUACGGACUCUGUUGUACUUAGCUACCCUGAAGGAUUUGUAUCUUCAACUGAACUCGGUAAAUUCAAGUUAGAACAUCAUGUUAAGGAAGGUAUAUCUUUAGCACCUAAGAGCUAUUGUCUAAUUCCUUAUGAAGGGUCUAGUGAUAUAUUGGUUCACAAAGGGGCAGUAAAAGAGCAUGUCACUCGGGAAUGGUAUAUUAAUCAAUAUACCAACCGAACUCAUAUCGAAAGUGUUACCAGCAGUUGAUAUGAGAUCUAUGUCUGUGAACAUCCGACUUUCUCUUAACCAUGCCAUAAGAGGGUUAAGGUAUAUGAUGCAUCUGAUCAAUGGAUUGAUACUAUGCCUAGAAGGGUUUCUAGUAUAACAGAUCCUCCCCUUGCACACAUGCUUUCGUUAUUACCAGUAUCUAAAAUAUCUGAAAGCAGAGAUACUGAAACCGGCUUAUGGGUUGCCUAAGCACAUUGACAGCUUAGAAGGAACUGGUCGUGAUUCUUUAUGCAGACAGGUGGAUAGCCUAUCAGAAGAACUAGAUUCUAGGAAAUCGGACACUAGUACAGGCAAGCCUUCCCCUUCUCUACCUCUACCAUCUCUUCCGUCUCCACCUCAACCGUCUCCUUCUCCACAUCUUAUUACUCCAAAGAGUCAUGAUUUGAGUCCUAAACCAACCACCAGGAGUUUCAGAGAGAAUUGGUUUGCAGCGCAGCGGCUCUUGACCAAAGCCUACCUUUCCCUUUUCUUUGCAUUGAAUUUCAUUGCUUUCAAGUACAGAGGACUCCUGAAUAAGCUGACUUCGUUUUAUUGAAUAGCCAAGACCCUGGCAGUCAAACCUUAAGAAAGAUAAGGAAGAUUGAUAGGACUUGAAUUCCCACUUGAUUGCUUUUUAUCUCUCCUCAUGUUUUGCUAAUAGUUUUUAUCAACAUGGAGAUACGAAAGUAGAGAACGCAUUGCAUUCAAUGUGAUUUCCGCUCCCUUGCUUCGAUUUCGUGCGUUUAAAGGCAGGGUUGAGCAACCAAUCAUAACCCUUCUUUGUGGCAGAAGUUUUUACCGGUUCCCCAGGAAAGUAUGUUGGUUUUGCAUAAACAAUUAGGGGGUUUCAACUGAUCCUUUCCGGAGAAUUAGACGGUCUACCCGAACGGGCCUUUUAUUCGGUGGGUAAUAUCGAUGAAGCUAGCACGAAUGCUAUAAACUUAGAAGAGGAGAACAAAUUGAAGAAAUGAAUGAAAUUCAAUCUUUAUGUACUGACUCCUAAGCGAAUUAUUUGGGAUUGUGAAGUAUGGUUUCAGGGUUUGUCAACCAAGUGGAGGAAGCGAUUGGUAUCAAGUUAUCAGAGCCUGCAUCCUCUGAGCAAUACUUAUCCUCCUUGAUAGCAACAGGUGCUCAAGAGGGGGGAAGAAGCGACUUUGUUCUUCUUCUUGCCAGCUUGAUUGAACCUUUCUCUGAGCUAGAAUCUCUUGAUCUUUUGCUGCCUUCGGAGUUUGGUGUAUCUACGACUUUUCUGCCGGAUGUGUAUUCAUUGGUAUCUUCAUUACCUGAGAUACCAGAUUAUAUGGCUUGGCUUGUUGAAGAACCACGCGUUCUUUAUCUGGAAGGUUGGUCUGGUGGGUACAAUUCUUGAUUUGUGCUUCCAUCCAUCUAAAGGAUCUAUUAGCUGGUGGUUCAGUUCAGACUAUUUUAUGUCCGAUCGGUUUGAGGUGAGAAGUAGAAUGAUGCUGAAUUCCUUUCUUGAUUAGGUUUGUUCUCUGGUGAAAUCGGAUAAUAAAAAAAAUAAAGGUAGUGUAUUUUCAUAACUUAGCAGGAGAAGAUGGUAUUCUUCUGAUAAACCACAUGAUAAGUAAUAAGCCUUCAUGGAUGGGAACUGAAGCCUUUAAUGAGAAAUGCUUUUGAAGAAGAUCCUUUUCGAAAUGCAUUUUCACCGAUUUCUAAUCAAGAUUUCGGCAUGGGUAGCAUUGAAUCAGUUCCUACUAGUUGUAGUCAACUUAUCAGUAGGAUUAUCCCUAAGGAGGGGGUGUUAAAAACUAUAGUAAGUCCUACAAAAUUAGAGAUAAUAUCGUUUAAAUCAUUGUUUUACAAUCCCCGAACCGGUACUAUGGAUGGGGGCAUUCCAAUGGAUGGAGUCAGCACUGUGAUUAAGGAAAAUCAUUCGAUGAUGAACGAAUAUCUAAAUAUAGAUUUAGGGCUUAGUCCAAUGAAUUAUGAGGAAUUGAGUUCACGAGGAACAUUGUGGAAAGCCCUUAACAUGGCAGCGGAUUCUCUAAUUAAUGGCUUAUUGAUAGAAUUAGGAGGACUCGAGGCACACAGCGCGGGAAUCCUAGGCUAUGAUGCCUCUGAUUGUGUGUUACAUUUACAUAUAGUAAUGUCCCAAACCCCUGACAGCAUAAGCUUCAUUUAUGGCAAUCUCUUUACCAUUGUAAAAUUAGGUAGUUCGUUUAGAAAACUAUGGUUGAAUUACAACAUUUGGGAUGGUUUGUCUGUUUUUACACAUACUAGUGUGGUACCAGACUCCAUACAGGAAUUGGUAACAGCACUUCAACUAAAGGAUAAUAUAGAAGGUCAUCAUAUCAUUAAGUUCCGUGAGGCACUCACGUAUGAGUUUCAAUCCUCUAACAUCUUUCAAUCGUCUGACAUCCUUGAUGGGGUGGGCAAGGCGGCCCUAGGCCUAAAGGGAAUAGUACCAAAUCCCGUAGGAGGGGUAUUAUGAUGUAUACAGAUACAAUGAUGGGGUUAGUUAUUAGAACAACAACUAUUUAUCAGCCUUAUCGGCUAUUUUCAACAAGUAAAACACGUCCAUUAAAGACGUCAUGUAAUGACGGCAAUAAACUGAUGCUUAUAUCUGCAAUUGAGUCUAUCUAUAACGAUGAAUGGAGGGUAAGAGGUGUACUCCCUUUCAGGAUGGAGGGUUUGCAAAGGGAAUUGCUUGUAAAAGACAACUUCCUUUUAGAACCAAUUGAUUAUUAUCAAUAUAAGAAAUCGGCUAUUCCUUCUUUCCUCUAUAAUAUGCUUUUCACGGAAGCAUCACUGGGGUAUUUAUGGUUGAAUGAAUGGGUUGAUGAUGAUGUCAAUAUGAUAGGGGUGUAUAAGUGUAGAGAACCAACAGAUUUAUUUCUAAUGACGGCGUUAUCCCGGGUUUUAUUAAGGAGAAUAAGUUAUGCAUAUAUUGCACCCAUUACCACUAACGUUUCAACAUUAAAUGAUCUCAAGUGCAAGCACUACGAUUUCUUGAAUAGACAGCAAAAUGUCGUGAAACUAAUCAUGAUAGACUUGACACCUUGUAUGAAACAAGCAAGGAACUCACGUAUAUUGAAAUGUUUUGAUAAUGAAACGAGCAAAGGGGUCGUUUUGAAUUUAGUAAAACAGAUUCUCUAUCUAUCAAUCUAUGAUAUGAAGAGUAAGAAGUUUAUACCGUUCAAUCUAAUCCCUCCAAUAGGUGAAAUAACCAAUGUGAUUUUACAUCUUUUCUAUCAAAAAGUGUUCGAUAAAGUGAUAGAGGAGAAGUAUCCUGGAAUAACAUAUACCCGAUGGGGUCAUGAAGUGAUUAUAGCACUCAAGAAGAAUGAUUCAUUUACAUUCGAUGAUGAUACAGUUAUUUCUCUAUUAGAUGAAAUAAAUCUAGAUGGGGAAUUUGAGUUCUUAUCAAAAGAAGACUAUGACUGCAUGCCUGCGUGUAACGAUGAAAAGGCUAUAUUACUAGACGAGGAUGGGUGUGUUUCGGUAUGGAGAUACGAGGAUUUGUAAUAAGAUUUGGAAGCACUUUUACCCUUCCGAAGGGGAAUUGGUCGGUCAGUGGUUUUCUGGGCCUGAAUCCCGGAUGAAUCCCCUAUUAGAACCUUCUCAAGCAAACCCUCGUAAUCCUUUUACAUCUCUUAGUCUAGCCCAUGCAUACCUUGCUUUACCCAUCGUUACUUAUCGUUCAACUUAGACCUCGAUAGCAAAUUCUUCGAGAGUCUCUUGUUCCAUCUACUAUCCUUUCUGAAGAUAAUAGAGUAACAGUGCUCCAUAGAGAGAGAAAGAAGACACAGUAAUGGUAAGCCAUUGUAGGGAUCAGCCUAGAAGGAGAAUCAUGAAUUCUUGUUUUCAUGAUAUGAUGAAACGAUUCAAUCAUGAUUGGGGUGUGGGUAAUUAUCUUCUUUUUUUUUCAUAAGAUGCGGUAUUCUUGUAGUGGUUCUCGAGGGCAAAGGGGGGGAUUUGGGUAAAGCCAGUGGUGGUGAUUGUGUCAUCCGUUCUCUUCUUAAUAACUCCCAUCUCCCGAGGCCUAGCUUCGUAUUAUUUUCUUCAUUCAAAGCAACCCAUUACUUUUGCUACUACUACCACUAGUCUAGCUGUUGUCUAUUUGCAACCAUAUAAUUUUUCUAAGAGUACAUGAGAUCGUAUUGUAUUUUGGGUUGCACUAGCGAUAAGGUAAAUAAAAAUUCUGGCUGGGGGAUAGUGCGGUAGUGACCGGAAUCCCAUCAAUGAUGCAAUAGGGGUAAAUUUUGUGAAGCCUGUUAUUACUGGAUAUACCCCCGUAUCAACAGAUCCAUAAAGGCCAGAGCUAACAAUAGGCCGUUACCAACGCUCGGAUACGGUAUCUUGAAAUCGUUAAGGCUAAGAUGCAGUAUUUGUUUAAGGAAAUGUAUAACCCAAUACGGGAUUCGGUUACGGAAGCCUGGGCUCCCAUCCACGAUAUUGAUGGAAAGGAAUGCAUUCGUGAAGAACCUCUUCUUACGAUAGACGACGUCAGCCGAAGCGUUAUUUCGGAGGCAUACCCCUUGGUUGAAUGGGAAAAUAAAAAGCAGCGGUAUAACUCUAAAUUUUGGACACCUCUCCACAAAAAGAAGGGAAAGGAUAAGAAAGGAUAGAUAUCUCAUGAUCUGAUGGAUAAACUCUAUGAUUUCAGGGAUCGAUUUAUCCAAAGUUACGAAUCAGAUUCUAAGAUCCAAGAUACAGUUAAACCUACUGUAAAAGUCUUUGACUUUCUCAAAAGCUCAUGGAGAGAAGUUCUUUCACAAGAUGAAUUAAGAAAUAUUCAACUAAAAGUUGAAGAGAUGACAUAUAAGUUUAAAGGAACAAGUUUCCUUGAGAAUACACCGCAGUUGAAGAGUAUAUUCUUCCUGGGUAAAUCCGCAAAGGACUUCCUUCUUGAAUCAUUAGUUGAUGAACUAGAUCUUCUAAUAGUUAGAGCCUCCCCAACUUGGGGACUUGAACCCUGUGUUAUAUGGGUGCUAAGCAAACACUUUAAUGUUUUUUCUCUUGAGAAGAGGGGUGUUCUUCUGGCUACUUUAAUUGAAGAUUUAGACAAUGAGGCAAGCAAGCCAUUGGAGUGCUUCGUAGGCAGUGCUUUAUCAAGGCAAGCUUCUCUUUCUUUCGCCAAUGAAGUUCAUAUAAGUGUAUAUAAACCCUUCUUUUCACAACCAUGCACAAACCAAAGUGCUGCUGAAACGUGAAAUCCAUGCACCAACAAGUUCCUGUUCAUAAGCAAUGAAAAAGCAGAGUAUAUGGGAGGAUAGUGGCUAAACUGUUCACUUGAGGAGAGUGGGAAGUGACUAGUCCGAUAGGAGAAGAGCGGAAGUGCGAUCUUUCGAUCCAAUCUACGUCGACUAAAAUCCAUGUCUCAUGGCACGAGGGCUAUAGGCUUGUGGAGACAGGAUACAGAGUUUGCAAAAGAAUAGUUUAGAGAAGGAAAGCCAGUAGAGUAUGCCUUGGUUUAAGAGAGGAGGCAUCUGGAUAGCUAGGGAUAGGGGAUUCCGGUCACUUGGUAAAGAAGGGUGGAUAGCCGACAUAGGGAUGUAAGGGAGUUGUAGGAUGCCAGAGAAAGCAUUGAAUAAGCGAAGAAGCACGAGGCAGACCUUUCUUCAGAGUUAGCAAUGGUAGUUCGGAUAGCAAAGCACCAGCAAGCGGAUAAGGCUAGGCAUGUCAGUAAUAGGCAGGAAAAUAAAGGAAUAACAAGAAAGCCAUGAUGCACGCGACUUGGUUGAAGAAAGAUUUGGAAGAUCUUCACUUCAAUUCUUUUCUCUAUGUUCAGAAUUCGAUGAGCUGAGGACAAUGAAGCAAUGGAAAGAACGACGACCUAGGAGGUAGUAGUAGUACGAAGCCGGAAGGUGGUUUGAUUCUGAAGUUGAGUGAGGAGGCGGACCACGUGACAGUAAGCAAAACGUAUAUUUUGACUGCUCAUAAGGCGAUGAGACGGGCAGAGGACAAAAGCAGGGUGCCCCGCAUUCUCAGCUGCUGAUUCUCAGGCUGAUUCUACUUGGUUGGUAGAAAAUCUACUUAUCCAGGAACAGGCGACGGAACAUACGAAGGACACACGUGCUACGAAGAAAUAUGAGAUUCUCAAAACAGGGAAGGCUACGGAUACACAUGGGGCUAGGCUAACAAGUAUCUUCGUUUGACCCUGGAUUGUUUCAUGCAGGAGUCAAGCUCUACAGGUCGGCCUGAGACGGAGCAUCGGAAGCGAAUCGAAGUAAUCUGGUUGGGAUUUCACACUACGGCUUGGAGUUGGGUUGGGGUUGCUCGAGUCACCUUACUCCAGGAGGGGUGCCGCGAAGAGUACCGUUUAAAGCCCGUUUCAUGUAUCUUUUUGGAUGGUGCUCACGUGGACGAAGCCAAAAUGCUUUACAAAGGUGUGAACGUCAGUGUCGUUUCUAACCCUCCUGUUGAUCUUGACAUUCAAUAUACGUGUGUAUAUAUGGACCCUAUACAGGAAUUAGUGCUGACGGCUCUGGGCCGUGUGUUAUUGGAGACUAUUUGACCUAGUAUGUUUGAUAAGUCAAGGGUCGAAUCGUUUUUCAGGCAUUUUCAUACACACUCCAAUGUGAGCGAACUCUUAAUCAUUCGAUACGAGAAAAGCCUUACUGGUGUGGCACCUUCAUCGCUCUUGGGCUUUUUCGAGGAUCAACUAACUAAUGUAGAUGGGAUCAAUAACUAUAACUAUAUGUGGGGUUAGCUCAAAAGCUUUCUACUAAUGCCCUACGUGAAUUGCUGGAACUCGCCCGAGAAUAGGCUCCCCCCUUUUAAGGAGAACGAUUUUUCGGUGAACGGAGACCCUUUGCCUUUCGGCCUGUAUUUGCUGGAUAGUUUUGACCCUGUUCCAUAUCUUUUCCAGUUCUUUCUUUUUGAACAUCUUUCUUUGCAAGAAGCUGAAGCCAAUAAUGGAGGAUUUGCCGGAAGAGUUCAACUACCAUGUGGACUUCUUCUAUCUAUAUACGUUUGUUGUUAUUUCCAGGCCUGUGUUGAGACUUUGAGGCAUAGCCCUGGUGUUUUUAGCGAAGCCGAAAGGUUGUUCCGUCGAGAAAGAAGAAUAUCUCGUCAUACCAACUAUAUGCUUUGUUCAUGUCUGCCAUUUCGUUUAUCAUAGAGGCGCGCAGCGAAAACGUGUCCAAGAAAGAGGUAAGGCUUUCCAUAAGUCUGAAAGAAACCUUCUUACUAGCAGGUUGUCCUUUCUUCGCCUAGUCUAUCUAAGACCGGAUUCGUCGGCGCAAGAGUGCUCGAUCAGUGACCUCCUACGCACUGCCGGCUUUGGGCAUACUAGCUCGCUGCGGAAGAGAAUGAAGAUAAAUAGGGUUCAUGUAACGUAGGGCAUAACACAUAGAAAAGCCCUUUUUAUCCACGGUAUGAUUGUUUUCCUAUUGCCUUGUCUUUCUGCUAUCUUGAAAUAGCUGUUAUUGUCUUCCUGGUCAGCUUUCGACGAGUGACUCUUGGUUGCGGGGCCAGGGAGGGGACCUACUAUCUACUUAACCGCUAGGCAAAGAGGGAGGACGGACCAGUCUCUUUCUUUCCGCUUGGAAGCCCAUUUUUCGGUAAUAUCCCUGCUGGAAAAAGAAACAGUACUGGUUUAAGAAAACUAGAGGAGCUGGAAAUAGGAUUUCUGAUCUGGGAAUUGAUGGUUUCUGAGGCAAAGGAAACUUUAGGUUAAGAAAUCAAAGCCAAGCAGGUACAAACAUUUCCCAUAGUGGUUAUGGUUGCUAAUGGUCAGAACAUAAUCAGUAAAGCUGUGUAUCGGAGGGGGUACCUGGAAGGUGCAAGGAGUGGAAUUUGAAGCAAAACUGAGGCUGUUGCCACUGGUUGCCUAUGACAUGGUGCUAGGAAUGGAUUGGUUGAAUACUCCGCUGGGGAAAGGGAUCUUUAAUGAAGGGGUACUUACACCGUUAAAAACAUACUCCAUACCUAGUUUACAUAUUAUUGCCUAGUGGGAAUGAUGGAAUUCCCAGAAAGCGAACCCUUGUUAAGUAAAGCCGAGUCCUUUGCUACCGGGCAUUCACUGCUGGUCACUCCUAAAUCUACCUGGUAUGGACUGCUAAAUCGAUUCCUCUUGGCUUUAAUAUCACCAGAUUAGCAAGAAAAGCUUUCCUCCGCAAUCAAGCCAAAGAAAGCGCUUUUCCUAAGCUAAGAAUGUGGUGCCUAAGAAGGAAAUAGCCUUUAUUCCUAUCUAUGACCAAGACUAUGAAGAGUAAAAAGAUUAGGAUAAGCAGACAUAAUAAAUAGAGUACCAGAUAUGUUAGAUUCGGAUCUGUCUAUAGUGUGAUGUGGCGCUCUUCUCCAAUCGAGUACCUCAGUAAGGUAGGCAAAGUCCUUUUCCCCACCGUCUUGUCUUCAAGUAGCCUUUACCUCCUUCUCUGUGAAUGGCGCACACUGGAAGGUAUUCAUGCUGUCAGUGACCUUUGACGGGACGUGAUCUAGCACCGCUGACAUAUUAGCAGUGCCCUCCGACGUAUACAAGUUCUGAAAGAAAUCCCGUGUCAUAGCUUGCAUCUUCUCACAAUCCUCACUGACAGACCCGUCCCCUAGGGGGCUAUAAAAAGGGCUAUAGGGCCACUAAUACAAAAGCGAUCAACAUGCACGUUAGAGAAGUGCCUCUACUUAUUUAUUUUUAUUUUAUUUUCUAAAGGAAUGGCUCGUUUCAUCAAUUCGCUCGAGCCAGGUGCCACUUCAGAUUUAUUCUUUUAUUCUGGAGCUUCUACCCAUGUUACGGCUGACAUCAAUAACCUUUGAACUCCCUCUGUCUACACUGGAACGGAGAAAAUCCAUAUGGGAAAUAACACAGGUUUGUAAAUUCUCCACUCUGGUUCAUCUCUUAUUCAGACACCGGUUCAGACUCUCUCUUACCAACAUUCUCCAUGUAUGUGCCCGGUAUUACCAAUAACUUGUUGAGCGUUGUUCAAUUGGUCAAGUGCUAAACCCUUGGAAUUCACCUCUUCUUGUUGUUUGGUUAAAGAUCGAGUGAAACAGGAGCUGCGUGGCACUCUUUUAAAUGGGCUUUACCGUCUUUCUUUACCUUCAGAACACACAGCUUUGCUUGGCGAAAUAACUCCUGCCUAUAUUUGGCAUCUCAUCUACUUAAUUUAAUGACAUUCCAUAUCUCAGGAAAAAGGAAAAGCGAAUUGAAUUUCAGUAAAGUCUUUUUUUCUGCUUUAUCCUUCUCUCAAUCAAAGAAAGGGAAUGCAGAUGUUCUGUCGCCCUCUCUUCGAUGCCAUCUCAUCCUUUCUUUCCCUAGCUUCCUUCUAUGCUGAAAGAAGCUUCUUUGGAGAGCGUAGAAGUGGCUUUAACACAAGCCCCUGACAUUGACUAGAGGACUGGGUAGUGGAUUAGCCUCAGAAGGUGGUUCGCCAGGGCUCAAACCGAACCGAUUGGCCAAUACCUUUUCGAAUGAGAUUCAGUCUUUUUUAUUUUCACACUCUAUCUAGACCCGGUAAGCCGUCUUGUACGGUAAGGGCUUUGUUCUUAGUAAAAAUAAAAAAUCCGCCCUUCUAGCUCAUACCAGCAUGGAAUUUCCGUCAGGCAAUUUGGAUUCUGGGUAUAUGGGCUAGGCUAAACAUCUGCGCCUGACACCCGCUGAUGAGAUUCUUUCUUUGUGUUUGGAUGCAUUCCCCUGAUCUUCCCCAAAUCCCACACUAGCCUACAACCUUAGGUAAAUCAGUUCCUCCUGGGAUUAUUAAGCACCCGUAGGGAGUGUAUGGAACUUCAAUCACAGCAUAAUGGGUGCAAGAAUUGCCUUUCCUCGGCUCUACUAGUGAACUUAAGCCAACAAGCUUUUCUGUCUGAGGGAGAGUGCUUUAUUUGAGUAGUAGCUGCCGUCCAUUUCAUCACCCGAAAUAUCAAGUUCUGUUUGUUCAAAAUCGUUACUAUCAUUUCUGCCUAUUCUUAUCGAGUGUGUUUUAGUCUAUUAUCAUAUAGAGUUCUUUUCUGGUUCUUAUUCUAUUUGUGGAGUGGAAGUCACGCAAACAAAGUAGUAAAGUCCUGGCUUGGAAGUCAAGUAAUAGAAAGGCAUAAAGCAAGGCUUUCUGGUAAUCCUAGUGCAACGUUGACUACUCUCUCUCUCCCCUAUUUUUAAUAUAGCUUUGCUAAUCUUUGAUGGCCAUCUUGUAAAGGAAAAGAAAGGAGAAUGUUGCUCCUCUGAAAACGCGUAUAGUAAUCUCAUUGGCCUUCGUCGAUGGGAUGGACAAACGCUCCACUGUAUGCCUUACAGGGCAACUAGCAUUUCGUUUUGGAAGUUCGUGAAAGGAAAGAAUGUUCUUGUUUUUCGUUGGAAAAACCAACGCCGACGUCAAGAUCAGUCUCCUUUCUCUUUUCGGGAGCAGAGCUGAAAAAGAUGGACAGUAACGAUCGCGUAAUAUCAAUUUAUCGGCCUCGUCAUCGAAAGCGGCUUCCAAUUGCUCGGAAAUUCUCAGCUAUAUGGGGGACUUUGAUGGUGAGCAAAAAGAAUUGAUCAAUAAAUUGGUAAACUUUCGCAUGAUCGAUGGUAAAAGAACGAGAGUUCGUGCUAUUGUUUAUAAAACUUUUCACCGCCUAGCUCGAACUGAACGCGAUGUAAUCAAACUUAUGGUUGACGCCGUAGAUAAUAUAAAGCCAAUAUGCGAAGUGGUCAAAGUAGGAGUCGCAGGUACUAUUUAUGAUGUUCCUGGGAUUGUAGCCAGGGAUCGUCAACAAACCUUAGCUAUUCGUUGGAUCCUUGGAGCAGCUUUCAAACGACGUAUAAGCUACAGGAUAAGCUUAGAGAAAUGUUCAUUUGCUGAGAUACUGGAUGCUUACCGAAAGAGGGGAAUUUCACGUAAGAGAAGGAAGAAUCUUCAUGGACUGGCUUCCACCAAUCGGAGUUUCGCGCAUUUCAGAUGGUGGUAAAGUGAUACCACAUAAGGAGCUCUUCCUCAUUCAGUCAUACUCAACAAAAGUCAGAAAUGUUUGACCCUGAUCCUUUUUUCAUCUUCAUAUAGAAAGAAAAUCGGCCUUCCUCAUACUCCCCCCUUCAUUCAUGGAGUUGGAGGAAUCCACAAGAGGCCUGCCCGUUCAUAAUUGCAUAAAAGAACCAUUCUUUUUAUGAAAACUCUUGUUCCAAACAAGCAAGGGAUUGAGCAACUAGCGCGAAAGCCGUUGCGCUAACGCGCAUCCGUUUUCUUGCUCCUUAACGACCGAGGGAUGAAAUCUUUCGACGACUAGGGAGGCGUCACCCGAGGCCGAUUCCUGUGGAUCACUAUAGAAUCUUCUAGAAGCAAGCUAGGCUACCUUCUGGCUAGCUCUGCCAUCUUAGAAAAAUUCCUUCGCGCUUAGCUUAGUAAGCUAGCUUGGUAAGCUAAGCAAGCCUGGUUCUCCGGGCACUAUGGUAGGACGUGGAUCGAUCAUGACGAGAAUGGACUUCUCCGUCAUGUAAUGGUUUAGAAGAGUCACGGUCCAGUUCCCCGCCGGGCUUUUUCCCUUCUCGACUAGACGAAGGAGAUAUUCAUUCCAUUCAGGCAGGUGAGGAAGGGCGGCGUCGGCUUGACCCUGUCUUCUCUCUUGGUCGGGUCGGAGGCUAAGUUUCUCAUUCAGUGGUGAGGUGUUCAUAGAAAGCAAGGCCUCGCCCAACGAGUGGCGGAUUUGGUUUGGGUGGGGUCUCGUCUCGCUUGGACGCUGGGGAGAUCCAUAGAUCUGGAUAGAGUCUUUCUCGCUCAGUAAAGAAGAGUACGCGCGCUACGGCUUACGCAGUGGAUCUUCGGGCAACCAACCCGGCACAUCCAAUUCCGAUCAACAACUUGGAGGUAUGGCUGAGUGGCUUAAGGCAUUGGUUUGCUAAAUCGACAUACAAGAAGAUUGUAUCAUGGGUUCGAAUCCCAUUUCCUCCGGCACGGAAGUUGAACGGGCGGGCGAAAUUACGUGAGAGAAAGAACCUCAGAUUGAUGGAGUCCGCCGUCGGACAGAAUAGCACUACUUAGUGACUAGGAGCGGAGCGCCCCUUUCUUGUUCUUGGUGGCGUCUAUAGCGAAGAAGACCUUCCCGAACGAGGGCCGUCCAGUCCCUGGCCGGCUCUCGGUUCUUGAGCAAGCUCCUCCACUGCGGGUAGGAUGCUUAUAGAUGAAGAAAAGAGACUUUAGGCAAGUGGUUCUGGUAGCUCAGCUGGUUAGAGCAAAGGACUGAAAAUCCUUUUUAGCUUGUUUCAGUGGGAAGAGCAAGGGGCAUUGCCCUUGAAAUCCUUCAGUGGUUCGAAUCCACAUCUGAGCGUCUUUUUUUUUUCGGUAUGCCGCUCCGCGAGCAAGGAGCGCCGCGAGGAGAGCGAGAGAACGAAGUGGGCUUUGGUGAUGUCGGAAUUUGCACCUAUUUGUAUCUAUUUAGUGAUCAGUCCGCUAGUUUCUUUGAUUCCACUCGGUGUUCCUUUUCCAUUUGCUUCCAAUAGUUCGACCUAUCCAGAAAAAUUGUCGGCCUACGAAUGUGGUUCCGAUCCCUCCGGUGAUGCCAGAAGUCGUUUCGAUAUACGAUUUUAUCCGGUUCCUAUUUUAUUUAUUAUCCCUGAUCCGGAAGUCACCUUUUCUUUUCCUUGGGCAGUACCUCCUAACAAGAUUGAUCUG